GAUGAACGCUGGCGGCGUGCCUAAUACAUGCCAGUCGAGCGAACAGAUAAGGAGCUUGCUCCUUUGACGUUAGCGGCGGACGGGUGAGUAACACGUGGGUAACCUACCUAUAAGACUGGAAUAACUCCGGGAAACCGGGGCUAAUGCCGGAUAACAUUUAGAACCGCAUGGUUCUAAAGUGAAAGAUGGUUUUGCUAUCACUUAUAGAUGGACCCGCGCCGUAUUAGCUAGUUGGUAAGGUAACGGCUUACCAAGGCAACGAUACGUAGCCAACCUGAGAGGGUGAUCGGCCACACUGGAACUGAGACACGGUCCAGACUCCUACGGGAGGCAGCAGUAGGGAAUCUUCCGCAAUGGGCGAAAGCCUGACGGAGCAACGCCGCGUGAGUGAUGAAGGUCUUCGGAUCGUAAAACUCUGUUAUUAGGGAAGAACAAAUGUGUAAGUAACUGUGCACGUCUUGACGGUACCUAAUCAGAAAGCCACGGCUAACUACGUG
rnacentral:rRNA from 1 species